UACGAAGGGGGCUAGCGUUGUUCGGAUUUACUGGGCGUAAAGCGCACGUAGGCGGAUUGGUCAGUUAGGGGUGAAAUCCUGGAGCUCAACUCCAGAACUGUCUUUAAUACUGCCAGUCUCGAGUCCGGAAGAGGUAAGUGGAACUCCUAGUGUAGAGGUGGAAUUCGUAGAUAUUAGGAAGAACACCAGUGGCGAAGGCGGCUUACUGGUCCGGUACUGACGCUGAGGUGCGAAAGCGUGGGGAGCAAACAGG
rnacentral:rRNA from 1 species